rnacentral:rRNA from 1 species
CAAAANGACUCUCGGCAACGGAUAUCUCGGCUCUCGCAUCGAUGAAGAACGUAGCGAAAUGCGAUACUUGGUGUGAAUUGCAGAAUCCAGCGAACCAUCGAGUCUUUGAACGCAAGUUGCGCUCGAAGCCUUCGGGNUAAGAGCACGUCUGCCUGGG